rnacentral:rRNA from 1 species
AGCGAACGCUGGCGGCAGGCCUAAUACAUGCAAGUCGAACGGCUCUUCGGAGCAGUGGCGGACGGGUGAGUAACGCGUGGGAAUGUGCCCUUAGGUACGGAACAACACAGGGAAACUUGUGCUAAUACCGUAUGUGCCCUUCGGGCGAAAGAUUUGUCGCCUUUGGAGCAGGCCGCGUUGGAUUAGGUAGUUCGUGAGGUAAAGUCUCACCAAUCCGACGAACCAUAGCUGGUUUGGUAGGAUGACCGGCCACACUGGAACUGAGAAACGGCCCAGACUCCUACGGUAGGCAGCAGUAGGGAAUCUUGCGCAAUGGGCGAAAGCCUGACGCAGCCAUGCCGCGUGUAUGAUGAAGGUCUUAGGAUUGUAAAAUACUUUCACCGGGGAAGAUAAUGACGGUACCCGGUGAAGAAGCCCCGGCUAACUUCUUGCCAGCCGCCGCCGUAA